rnacentral:rRNA from 1 species
UACGUAGGUGGCGAGCGUUGUCCGGAUUUACUGGGCGUAAAGGGAGCGUAGGCGGACUUUUAAGUGAGAUGUGAAAUACUCGGGCUCAACUUGAGUGCUGCAUUUCAAACUGGAAGUCUAGAGUGCAGGAGGGGAGAAUGGAAUUCCUAGUGUAGCGGUGAAAUGCGUAGAGAUUAGGAAGGACACCAGUGGCGAAGGCGAUUCUCUGGACUGUAACUGACGCUGAGGCUCGAAAGCGUGGGGAGCAAACAGG